AUUUGGAACAAUAGACAAAAUUCUUUUGUCUACAUUCAGCGGACAAUGGUCGAGGGGAUAACACCAUUGCCUCCGAACUUUGCAGUGCUGGUUCGAGGCCCGAACCCUCCAGAGAUUUGUCUUUGCAGUUUUUCUCUCGCAUUAGCGCCUGUUUGAAUGUUUUUUUUUCUUUUUUUCUUCUUCUAAUGACGUCAUCACAAAAAGAGUAUAAAAGGCGUCAAGAUCGCGACGCUCAUUCUUGCACUCACCACUGACAGCGAGAGCCACGUUGCUCUGGUCCACCUGCUGCGCCGGCCGUACAACAACGUGUAAACGUGACAAGCGUCUAGUUGCACUUUGGGCGUGCUUCCAUCUUGCAAGCUCAAAGGUUUGCAGAAGCUAGCGUUAGCAGUUAACAUCUCCAACGACCACCAAAACGCAUUUAUCUGGCGUGCAACCAAACAAUUUAAGAAUGCAACGGUGGCAACGUCUGGACGACAGCGCCGUUUGGCCGAAGGUGCAAACCCUCAAAACGAGCCUGUCAUGGCCGACUGACUUUGUGAGUUUUAAAGUCAACUCUUUCAAUCGACUGCUUCUAAUUGUCUUCUCAUUUCUGUCCCCAGGCAGGCCUGCAUCUGGAACCGAGGGAACAGGGUGACUGCAAAAUGGCAAAAAUAUGUUUAUUAGCAAGGCAUCUUGUCAAAUUGACUAAAGCAAACAUUUGUUCUUUUUGUUUUGUUUGCAGGGUCCAAAAUGGCCACCUUGCAGUCCUCGCAUGGCUUCAUGGGACACUUGCAGGUCUACUCUUGCUCAAUUUGCUUGUUAGGCUGAAAAUGUAAAAGCAGAAUGGUUGUAACGUUACCGUGUCUUUCAGACCAGCGAGCUGCAGUUGGAGAGACGUCCGGUGCUGCCCUCCAUUCAUCACUGGUGAAACACGCACGUGUCCAAACGUUUGACACAUGUCAAACACUUCAGCAUGUUCUUCCUCCUUUUGUCCACCAGGUGGGACCAAAGGACCUAGUUUCUGUAGCAUGGUGAAGAUCUAAAUGGUUUUAAUCUUGUGUCAUCAUCAACCUCUUGUCCAGGGGAUUAUAAACUUGGUAUUGUUUAAAAGCACUUACCCGCUUUAUUUUUUAUGCCUCCCUCUUCCUGCAGAGCACUUUCCAGUAAAGAUGCAGUUGGAACAUCCGCUACCUGCUGGCCAAAGAUAAAACCCCUCCAAAGCCAUGCAGAGGUACUUUCAGGUUGUCUCCAUUCUCAGAGUUGACACACAAAUAAAACGUACUAAAUGGCAGCUUGAUUGGUUUGUGUUGUGUGCAGGUAUCCAUCCUGGAGAAUUUUUACAACAUUUCAGGAACUCUGCCUGUGAAACAGCAACUAGCUGCUUCCACUCUACAGUAAAAAACAAAAGCAGUAAACAUAAAUGGAGUCAUUGUGACAAUUUCCUUUUUCUUUCCAGGCAGAGGUGGCAAAUCCAGGUCCAGAAAGUGAAAAGCCUGCCACAAUUUGUCUUCAGCUUCUGAGCUCGUUCAUCUGGAUCUGUGCUGCCUGAAGAGCCCUCCGCUGUGUGGAUCACCAGCCGCUCGUAGCGGAAGCUGAGGACAAGAGCAAAGCCGCAUACCAGCAGUACUUUCUUAUUUGCUCAGCUCUAAGGCAACCUGAGAAGAAGCAAAGAACAAAAUCAACUUCCUGAGUCAUGCAGCAAGGAACAAAAUUGGCUACCUGGUCAUGCAGCUUGCAGUACGCGGUGCCAUAAACAACUCAACUUGCGCACUGGUCCAGGCAUGGAGUACCACUCGUCGCACCGGCGUACCACUCGUCGCACCGGCGUACCACUCGUCGCACCGGCGUACCACUCGUCGCACCGGCGUACCACUCGUCGCACCGGCGUACCACUCGUCGCACCGGCGUACC